AACGCGAAGAACCUUACCAAGGUUUGACAUGCAGGGAAAAGCCGUAGAGAUAUGGUGUCCGUAAGGGUCCUGCACAGGUGGUGCAUGGCUGUCGUCAGCUCGUGUCGUGAGAUGUUGGGUUAAGUCCCGCAACGAGCGCAACCCUCGUCCUAUGUUGCCAGCGGGUAAUGCCGGGGACUCAUAGGAGACUGCCGGGGUCAACUCGGAGGAAGGUGGGGAUGACGUCAAGUCCUCAUGCCCCUUAUAUCUUGGGCUGCAAACAUGCUACAAUGGCCGGUACAGAGGGCUGCGAGACCGCAAGGUGGAGCGAAUCUCAAAAAGCCGGUCUCAGUUCGGAUUGGGGUCUGCAACUCGACCCCAUGAAGUCGGAGUCGCUAGUAAUCGCGAAUCAGCAACGUCGCGGUGAAUACGUUCCCGGGCCUUGUA
rnacentral:rRNA from 1 species